GGAAUAAAAUCAGGAGUGCCUUUUGUGAGUAUCAAUGAGUGGGUGUUUUUGGGUUACUUGUUGAUGUUUUUUUACGAGUUUUUGGAUGGUUUAGAUGAUUUUGGAUGAUCUUAAUUAUUUAAUGUAAUAUAUAUAUAUAUAUAUAUAUAUAUUUCAAUUAGAAUGUUUUUUUUUUACCGUGAUUUUGUUCAUCAAGGGGGGAAUACCUUGUCUGAUUUGGGAUCCCUGAAUUGAUUUUCACAUGGACGGGAGCAAAGGUAAAGAGAAGGUAGGGGUAGGCAUCCUUUUGGAUUGGAUUAAAAAUAUCUAAUUAAAUGGAUUUUCUCGAAGUUUUAUUUGUUGAGAGAGAGCAGGAGAACAAUUGAAGAAAAUUUAUAGUGCCUGACCUGUACCCAAUGAGUGAAAUACAUGGCGUUGUGAUUUUAUUGGACCUGUGGGUGGCAUGUCUAUGACUAGAAUGGGAGUAGAAUAUGGAAGUACAUGUGGUAGCAUUCCAGGUUGAGGUUACUGUUGCUGUGACAUAUUGACUGUUCUCUUAUUGAGUUUUGAAAGUUCGAUUGGUUUUACUGCGCAAAUGGAAUUGGGUUAUGGGAUUGGUAACCAAUCGCUAGUUUCAUGUAUUUGAAAGGAUUGCUUUUAGUGGCACACUAACUGUUAUUGAGUUUAUGCUGCUGGAGUUUAUGUUCGUUCGUAUGUUGUUUUGGUUUAGCUAGAUUGGCUCUGCUGUUGGGGGGACACCAAGUGAAUUCUAUGGAUUCAACCAUGGUAUCUACUGUUCUUUUCAUAUUUCCUUUCCUAAUUGAUGAAGAGUGUUUUAAUGUACUCGAUAUGCAUUUCAUUCAUGAGGCUACAACCUAGUAGUUGUAGAUGCAAAAACCCUUAAGAUAAGCAUAUACUUUGUCUCGAGAAUGCUGAGAAAUUAUUAACCAUCCUCAAGGUAGUGCUCCCUCAUUACCUACAUUUUGGAUCUUCUUGUACUAGCUGUUAUUGGUCUUGCAGCAAUGUUACAGGGAGCACUUGACCGGGUAUGGUGUGGUGGAUGAUCUUUCUAGGAUGCCUACAAAAAAAGGACCCUUGAACAAUCAUGGCUUGAGGCAAUUCUGUUAUGCUUUGAUUCUCAAACCUUGAAAACACUGCCAGAAAAAUAGAAGGGACAGUCAGCAAGGAAUCCAUUUCUGAGUUCAUGGCUCUCUCUCAAUGCUCGAUCACUUAAAUAUGUUUUCCAUACACCACCUGUAAUAGUAUUCUCUUCAGCUUGUGCAGGAGUGGCAGGUCAGCAAUACUAUCCUUAAAUUUUCUUGUGAGAAUCACCAUGAUUUUACUGGCAUCUAACUACAGGAAUUUCAUAAUGGACAUGGUAUUUUAUAUCCGUGAAAACUAUGGGGUUUGUUCUGUAAAUGGCCAUGGCUAUGAGAAAUAUCCUACUGAUAUAGAUGUGCGAUGACUUCCAAAGGAGGAAAGAGGAUGUCCCCUUCUGGGACUCUGUUCCUCAGGAUUUCCUUGCGUAUCUACGAACUUAAUCACUAGAAACCAGUAGCGACUAGCUAGUAGGGAAUGAUUCUGUCUGUCUUUUGAGGCAGCAGUCAAUCCUGGUGACCUGCAUGUUGAUUGCUGCCUAAUGCAUGUUUCAAAUUUCAACCUAUCCUUAAUCUGUACUCGAUAGCAGCUGGCCUUCAUUUCCAUGGACAUUGGAGGAAUUAGCUCCAUUUCUUGAGAUACAGUUAUGAUAACUGGUCCUGGAGCCGUUCUUUGUUAAAAGUAAAACUUCUAACUGGUCCUGGAGCCGUUCUUUGUUAAAAGUAAAACUUCUCUCAUUGCUCUGCGACAAUGUGCAUCUGUGUAUCGGUGGCUGCGCAAGCACAUCUACCUUUAUCACGUCUGAUUAUUCUGACCAGGCAUUUUGUUAGUGGAUUGCAUGGUGGUUUAGUGUUUAUUUUGACUUAUUAUUCAAUGUCUAUCAAUGCUGUAGGAUUAAACUGUAAGGACCUUUUCCAAAGGGCUGAUAUCAGUUGCUUGCUAUGGAUUCUGGAUUCUGUUAGUUUUUGGCUACAGUGCCUUUUUGAGACUCCUAACAUUGGCCCACCUGGUUAAAAUUCAAA